rnacentral:rRNA from 1 species
AAUUUUGGACAAUGGGGGAAACCCUGAUCCAGCCAUCCCGCGUGUAUGAUGAAGGCCUUCGGGUUGUAAAGUACUUUUGUCAGAGAAGAAAAGGUAUCUCCUAAUACGAGAUACUGCUGACGGUAUCUGCAGGAUAAGCACCGGCUACCUACGUGCCAGCAGCCGAGGUAAUACGUAGGGUGCAAGCGUUAAUCGGAAUUACUGGGCGUAAAGCGUGUGUAGGCGCUUCGGAAAGAAAGAUGUGAAAUCCCAGGGCUCAACCUUGGAACUGCAUUUUAAACGGACGAGCUAGAGUAUGUCAGAGGGGGGGAGAAUUCCACGUGUAGCAGUGAAAUGCGUAGAUAUGUGGAGGAAUACCGAUGGCGAAGGCAGCCCCCUGGGAUAAUACUGACGCUCAGACACGAAAGCGUGGGGAGCAAACG